AUGACGUCUGACAACAUCGUUGUCGUCCCACCUUUGGUCUUAGUUGGCAAGAACAACACAAAGAUACUGGACUACGGCUGCGCGUUGCUCACCAGCCACGACCUCUGUCCGCCAGGCUGCCUCGACUUCUUCCGUAUUCUGCUCAUCUACAACCACCACGGCGGCGGUGGGUUGUCAACGGUGCUCCGGUGCUACUCCUCGGACACGGGUCGCUGGGGACCGGAGACUAAAUCCAUUGUCAAGAUACCUAGUUCCAAGAUCAGCAACAUCGGCCCUGCCGUGAUACACCGCGGGGUGGCAUACUUGGCUCUCGAGCAGGGUGUGUUCGGGGUGCGCCUGGAUCGGAUUGAGGAGGACCAUACAAUGGACAUGCAUCUCGUGCCGUGUGACACCUCAAAAUUUAGCCCAAACAACCGCCUGAUGGGCGUCUCAUCGGACAAUCGGCUUUUCUUGAUGAAUUGUUGUUUCAAAGCAAUCUCAAAAAUGAAAAUGUGGAAAAAGCUCGUGCUGAAGCUAACCUAUCUCGAGUUUGCACAUGAAGAUGACAUCCACACCGCUAAGAUAUCUACCAUUCGUGAAGUUCUGUCGAUGAAGCAGAUUGGGAAGCAGAUGGAGGUGGCAUACUACCCCCCUGCGAUCAAGCUGCGAUGGUUUGGCGAGAAGAGUGGGAUCUUGUUGUUCACCAUGGGAGAGCGUAGCGGGCACAAUGGCACCUAUAUGAUGAACCUUCGGGAGCAAGUGGUUGACAAGGUGGCGGAUGAUGGGCACUCUUGGAAGAACCUGCUCGGGUAUGAGAUGGAUAUGGCGGCGUACCUUGUCUCUGUCGGCCAGAUAUCCUUCACUUGA
rnacentral:rRNA from 1 species